rnacentral:sRNA from 1 species
GAUUCCUCCUCUCUAGGCAGGGCAUCUCUGAAAAAAGGCAGCAGCCCCAGUCAGGGGCUUAUAGAUCAAACUCCCAUCUCCCUGGGACAGAACACCUUGGGGAAGGGGAGGCUGUGGGCUCAGCUUCAGCAGACUUAAAUGUACCUGCCUGCCAGCUCUGAAGAGAGCAGAGGAUCUCCCAGCACACCACUCGAGCUCUGAUAAGAGACAGACUGCCUCCUCAAGUGGAUCCCUGACACCUGUGUCUCCUGACUGGGAGACAACUCCCAGCAGGGGCGGAUGGACACCUCAUACAGGACAAUUCCAGCUGGCAUCUGCCAGGUGCCCCUCUAGGAUGAAGCUUCCAGAGAAAGUAACAGGCAGCAAUCUUUGCUGUUCUGCAGCCUCUGCUGGUGAUACCCAGGCAAACAGGGUCUGGAGUGGACCUCAAGCAAACUCUAGCAGACCUGCACUGCAGCAGAGGGGCCUGACUUUCAGAAGGAAAACUAACAAACAGAAAGGAAUAGCAUCAACAUCAACAAAAAGGCUGUCCAGACAGAAACCCCAUGUGAAGGUCACCAACAUCAAAGACCAAAGGUAGGUAAAUCCAUGCAGAUGAGGAAAAUCCAGCGCAAAAAGGCUGAAAAUUCCAAAAACCAGAAUGCUUCUUCUCCUCCAACAGAUCACACUCCUUGACAGCAAGGGAACAGAACCGGACGGAGAAUGAGUUUGAUGAAUUGACAGAAGUAGGCUUCAGAAGGUGGGUAAUAACAAACUCCUCCAAGCUAAGGGAGCAUAUUCUAACCCAAUGCAAAGAAGCUAAAAACCUUAAAAAAAAGAUUAUAGAAAUUGCUAACUAGAAUAACCAGUUUAGAGAAGAACAUAAAUGACCUGAUGGAGCUGAAAAACACAGUAUGAGAACUUCGUGAAACAUACACAAGUAUCAAUAGCUGAAUCAGUCUAGCAGAAAAAAGGAUAUCAGAGGUUGAAGAUCAACUUAAUGAAAUGAAGUGUGAAGACAAGAUUAGAGAAAAAAGAACGAAAAAGGAGAAUGAACAAAGCCUCUAAGAAACAUGAGACUAUAUGAAAAGACCAAAUCUACGUUUGAUUGGCGUACCUGUAAGUGACUGGGAGAAUGGGAAGGAGCUGGAAAACACUCUUCAGGAUAUUAUCCAGGAGAACUUCCCCAAUCUAGCAAGACAGGCCAACACUCAAAUUCAGGAAAUACAGAGAACACCACAACAAUGCUCCUUAAGAAGAGCAACCCAAAGACACAUAAUCGUCAGAUUCACCAAAGUUGAAAUAAAGGAAAAAAUUGUUAAGGACAGCCAGAGGGAAAGGUUGGGUUACCCACAAAGCAAAGCCUAUCAGACUAACAGCAGAUCUCUCUGCAGAAACUCUACAAACCAGAAGAGAGUGGAGCCAAUAUUCUACAUUCUUAAAGAAAAGAAUUUUCAACCUAGAAUUUCGUAUCCAGCCAAACUAAGCUUCAUAAGGGAAAGAGAAAUAAAAUCCUUUACAGACAAGCAAAUGCUGAGAAAUUUGUCACCACCAGGCCUGCCUUAAAAGAGCUCCUCUAGGAGCACUGAACAUGGAAAGGAACAAUCGGUAUCAGCCACUACAAAAACAUACCAAAUUGUAAAAACCAACAACACUCUGAAGAAACCGCAUCAACUAAAAGUCAAGAUAACCAGCUAGCAUUAUAAUGACAGGAUCAAAUUCACACAUAGCAAUAUUAACCUUAAAUGUAAAUGGGCUAAAUGCCCCAAUUAAAAGACAGAGACUGGCAAAUUGGAUACAGAGUCAAGACCCAUUGGUAUGCUCUAUUCAGAAGACCCAUGUCAAAUGCAAAGACACACAUAGGCUCAAAAUAAAAGGAUGGAGGAAUAUUGACCAAGCAAAUGGAAACCAAAACAAAGCAGGGUUUGCAUUCCCAGUCUCUGAUAAAACAGGCUUUAAACUAACAAAGAUCAAAAGAGCCAAAGAAAGGCAUUAUAUAAUGGUAAAGGGAUCAAUGAAACAAGAAUAGUUAACUAUCCUAAUAUAUAUGCACACAAUACAGGAGCACCCAGAUUCAUAUAGCAAGUUCUUAGAGACCUGCAAAGAGAUUUAGACUCCCACACAAUAAUAGUAGGAGACUUAAACACCCCACUGUCAAUAUUAGACAGAUCAAUGAGACAGAAAAUUAACAAGGAUAUUUAGCACUUGAACUCAGCUCUGGACCAAGUGGAUCUAAUAGGCAUCUAUGGAACCCUCAAUCCCAAAUCAACAGAAUAUACAUUCUUCUCAGCACCACAUCACACUUAUUUUAAACUUAGCCACAUAAUUGGAUGUAAAACACUCCUCAGCAAAUGCAAAAUAAUGGAAAUCAUAACAAACAGUCUCUCAGACCACAGUGCAAUCAAAUUAGAACUCAGGAUUAAGAAACUCAAAACUGCACAACUACAUGGAAACUGAACAACCUUCUCCUAAAUGACUACUGGGUAAAUAUCAAAAUUAAGGCAGAAAUAAAUAAGUUCUUUCAAACCAAUGAGAGCAAAGACACAACAUACAAGAAUCUCUGGGACACAGCUAAAGCAGUGUGUAGAGGGAAAUUUAUAGCACUAAAUGCCCACAAGAGAAAGCAGGAAAGAUCUAAAAUUGACACCCUAAUAUCAUAAUUAAAAGAACUAGAGAAGCAAGAGUAAACAAAUUCAAAAACUAGCACAAGACAAGAAAUAACUAAGGUUAGAAACAAGUGCUUGGUGCUGUGAAGAAAACGUGUGCUCAAUAAAAGAUUACUUAGUAAGGCAAUUUUACUUUUGUAGUGUAGCAGGAUGAGCCACAGACAAAACUCCUCAGACAUCAGGUUAAAGAAGGAAGGAGCUUUGUUCAGCCAGGAACUUCAGCAGACUUGCAUCUCAAAAGCCAAGCUCCCCAAGUGAGCAAUUCCAGUCCCUUUUAGGGGCUUACAACUCUAAGGGGGUCCACGUGAGAGGGUCGUGAUCGAUUGAGCAAGCCGGGGGUACGUGACUGGGGGCUGUGUGCACCAGUAAUCAGAACAGAACAGAACAGGAGAGGGAUUUUCACAGUGCUUUUCCAUACAAUGUCUGGAAUCUAUAGAUAACAUAACCGGUUAGGUCAGGGGUCGAUCUUUAACUACCAGGCCCAGGGUGUUGCACUGGGCUGUCUGCCAGUGAAUUUCAUUUCUGCCUUUUAGUUUUUACUUUUUCCUUAUUUGGAGGCAGAAAUUGGGCAUAAGACAAUAUGAGGGCUGGUCUCCUCCCUUAUUCCCCCCUCUUUGAGAACCUCUCUCAUUAGUGGGAGUUCUCACUUUCAUCCUCACUACCUGUGUCUUCUUGCAAGACAGAGCAAUAGUGAUUCAUAUAGUACACUUGUGCUGAAGCAUUUUGGUGAACUAAGGUAGUGAUGAAGUUUUUUAUUACCUGAAGGAGUACAGGUAGCAAACAAGGGAGUAGUAAGCAGGUUCCUAUUACGUAGUCCCCUGGGACUAUGGCCCACAACUCUGGAGGGGGUGGUGCUUUCUUGACUUGGGUGUGAUGAAUCCAUCCCCUUUCCAUUGUACGAACAGCAGUCUCGGUGGUUAGCAGCACAAGAGAUGAUUUACACAAUGAAGAAGGUAUAUGCACUUUGGGCUUCCGUAUGCCUGCUGCUUAAUCUUGCCCCUGCCCCUCUUAAUGCUGAUUCUGAGGAAGAUGAAGGACACACAAUUAUCACAGAUACUGAGUUGCCACCACUGAAACUUAUGCAUUCAUUUUGUGCAUUCAAGGCGGAUGAUGGCCCAUGUAAAGCACUCAUGAAGAGAUUUUUCUUCAAUAUUUUCACUCGCCAGUGUGAAGAAUUUAUAUAUGGGGGAUGUGAAGGAAAUCAGAAUCGAUUUGAAAGUUUGGAAGAGUGCCAAAAAAUGUGUACAAGAGAUAAUGCAAACAAGAUUAUAAAGACAACAUUGCAACAAGAAAAGCCAGAUUUCUGCUUUUUGGAAGAAGAUCCUGGAAUAUGUCGAGGUUAUAUUACCAGGUAUUUUUAUAACAAUCAGACAAAACAGUGUGAACGUUUCAAGUAUGGUGGAUGCCUGGGCAAUAUGAACAAUUUUGAGACACUGGAAGAAUGCAAGAACACCUGUGAAGAUGGUCGUAAGUUUAUUUCUUAUUUCAUUUUAGUUCAUUUAUAGGCAUCCUUUUAAAACUAAGGCAUCUCAGAUGGUAUUCAAGCUUACUCAGGUUUUGUUUGAGCCAUGCAAAUGAAGAUAUAUUUGUGUGCAUUCAAUGUGAGAUUUGUGACUAUAGUUUUUUAAAAAGCAUAGAAAAUUAAGAAAUUAUUUUCAUAGAUCUAAUAUUUUUUAUGUUACAUUAUUUAAUUUUUCUUCCUGAGAAUACUGCAGUACAAUUUUGGCACAAUAGAAUUGCUGAAAUCUUUCACAUUUAUACAAUAUGAGAGCAAAUAGUUAUUGAAAACUACCACCUAAAAUCACUUAGUUUUAUCUGCCUAUAACAUUUAUUAAAGGGAUGACUUAAACAUUAACUGCUAUGCUUUUUUGACCAAGAACUACAGUUACUCAUGGAAAUAUUACCUUACAAUUAUAUUUAAAGAUUCACUGUUUGCUAAUUUAACAUAUCAAUGUGAAUGAAAUUGCCAGAAAUCUGCUUUUUUAACUGUUGUAUGCUUCAUGAGUCCAAAUAUGAGAUUGUGACAAUGUUUAUCUAUUUUAAUUGGCUGUAUUUUUUUCCAGCGAAUGGUUUCCAGGUGGAUAAUUAUGGAACCCAGCUCAAUGCUGGGAAUAACUCCCUGACUCCACAAUCAACGAAGGUUCCCAGCCUUUUUGAAUUUCACGGUCCCUCAUGGUGUCUCACUCCAGCAGACAGAGGAUUGUGUCGUGCCAAUGAGAACAGAUUCUACUACAAUUCAGUCAUUGGGAAAUGCCGCCCAUUUAAGUACAGUGGAUGUGGGGGAAAUGAAAACAAUUUUACUUCCAAACAAGAAUGUCUGAGGGCGUGUAAAAAAGGUUUCAUCCAAAGAAUAUCAAAAGGAGGCCUAAUUAAAACC